AUUUCAUGGAUGCAUGUUAAUAUCUUAUUACCUGGAGACAGCCCUUAUAACUUAAUAUACUAUAGUAUGCUAUAUUAUAUUAUGUUAUAAUUUUUCCCCCUGCUCCAUGAGUUGUCUGUUUCCUCUAAGCUCUUUUUUUUUUUAGUCUUUGAUACUUUUCAUCUCUGACUUUAUGUGAAGACUAAGACUCUAACACAGGCCUGGAAAUCAUCUCCGCAGGAUGGCCCUUUUUCUGGAGGCCUGGACGUUCCCCACAACCCAGCGACACUCUCUGGCGAGAUGAACCCCCGUUCCUGGGACAAUGCUGAAGCACCUGCUGGUCUGUGGUCACUUAUUCGGUGUGUCUUCCCUGCAGAGCUGCGGACAUCAGAACAGCCCUGGGCUGCUUCAGAAAUAAGACCGGUACCCCGGUUUCCUGAAGCCCCUGUAACAAACAAGCACAAACUGGGUGAUGCAAAACAACAGAACCUUAUUCCCUCUUCGUGCAGGAGGCCAGAAGACUAAAACCAAGAAAGUUGCAGCCAAGCAAGAAAAGGCUGAGGACUCUGGAGAGAAGAGAUACAGCCUUGCACUGGCAAUGUGGAAGGGAUGGUUCAGAUCUAGCAUCCCCGGAAGCCAGCAGACCCUUGUUUCUUACACACUGCAGGAUGGGCGUGGCUCUUGACUAUAGGGAUUGACCCUGAAGUCUCUGCUGGGAACGAGGGGACGUCAUUUCCAUGGGACCGUGACACUGUUCCUCUGGUCCCUUCCUGAAUGGUGAAGUUUGAACUGUGACUUGUCUGCAGAGUAGGACAUACAGCCAUCCCUGCUUUGCCAGCAGAGAGGUCUCGGGUAUGUGAUGCUGUGCAUGGACGUAUUUGAAAUCCAGAGCACAUGGGCUGGACAGGUGAGAAGUGGGUCUCGGACAGGCUCCUCUCACACCCUGGGCUCAGUCAUAUCCUGGGGCAAUUGGCAAGGCCCAGCUUCUAAAUUGACCCCAUAACACUCUGCCAUUGCCAAUGGGGGUGGGCUUGGCUGGGUUUCCCAGAAACAGAAUAAAUUGAAAAGCAAUUGUACUGCAGGGGUGGGACGGUGAGGCGUGGGGGUGGUCAGAGCGCUUUGUCCAAUUGGUUCCCAAGCACGUGAACUCUGCAGUAAGGCUGCUGGAGGGACAAAAUCAAGGUCAUGAAGAUUGACCCCUGUGUUUUCUUCUAAAGGUUUUAUAUUUUAGCUCCUACAUUGUGGUCUUUGAUGCAUUUUUGGUGGGAGGAGAUGUAAUUGGCUUUAUUCAACCAUUCAUGAACUGGGCAGCAUCCCCUCUAGCAGGUAGAAGGGAACUCCCUGAUGCAUUUUGGUUUAAAAACCACAGGUAUGCUUUACAACAGUGAGAUAUUUGGCAGGAGUGUGUGGGACAAUUUACCCAAAGACACAAUUUUUUUAACAGAUUUAUCGACUUCGAAAUUUCAUUUCCUGUGUGCUCAUUUAUUUAUACGUACCCAUUAAUAUGCACGGCAGUACAGUAGUAAUAGCUCUUGUGGCCACACAGGAAAUGGUGUGCUAAUGUGGUAACUGGAAACGUAGUAACUGGAAACAUCAAGGACAUGUAACAAGGGAUUCUGCACUUUUUGAAACUAACCCCCUCUUAAGGAUCAAAGGGUGUGGUCGGAUUUUGGACUGACAGCAUCAAAAAGUCAGACAGAGAAUACAUGAAUCAGGAGAUGCAUUUUCUCUCUAACUUCGGGAAACGCGGGACAAAGAGAGCCUGGACCAGCUUCCACGGGCUGAGGUUUGAGAGUGACCCUCUUGCAGAAGCAUGGGACACUUCCAGACUGUGGAGGGCUGCUCGAGAUGUCCAUGCCGGGCACCUGCAUCAGCCCUUCCCCUCCCUCCCCAAUUUUUCAUGGCACCUGGGAGAAGUGGAGGGGAUUCAAGUUCCAUUAUUUAGGGACUCAGGGCCAAAUGAAAAUUCAUAAGAAACCUCUUGUUUGAAAGCAGAAGGGCCAUUAAAGAUA